rnacentral:rRNA from 1 species
GGAUCGUAAAACUCUGUUGUUAGAGAAGAACAAGGACGUUAGUAACUGAACGUCCCCUGACGGUAUCUAACCAGAAAGCCACGGCUAACUACGUGCCAGCAGCCGCGGUAAUACGUAGGUGGCAAGCGUUGUCCGGAUUUAUUGGGCGUAAAGCGAGCGCAGGCGGUUUCUUAAGUCUGAUGUGAAAGCCCCCGGCUCAACCGGGGAGGGUCAUUGGAAACUGGGAGACUUGAGUGCAGAAGAGGAGAGUGGAAUUCCAUG